UCCUUUGUCUAGGAGAACAGCUACAUUGAAGGCCAUGAGCAGGUAGCUAUUAAUAUGACAGGCGCUCUAUCUCCCACUGUAAUUUAUAAUGAAAUACCUAAUCUCCAUUAUUUUGAUCCAAGCAGGCGAUCCCAUGAAAAAGUCUUUUCAUCCAGUUCCCAAUGGCUGUUGCAUGAGAAAUGGCAAACCAAUAAUUUUUGUCAAGUUUUUUAAGCCAACAGAAAUGCUUUCCACGGCUGCGGUUUCAAAAGGCAGAGAUAAAGCUCAUUCACCGCGAUGAAUGGAAAAGCCAUCUGGGGUUUUCUUUUUGACUUCCUUCCCUUUUCUCCAUCCUUGUAAUCAAAUUUGAGCAAAAUGAAAUGGGGCUUUCUAUGAAAGUACCUUUUGUUGAUCUGAACGAGCUGGUAAUUUACAAAAUACCCUUCCUUUGUGGGGAAGGCUAAAGAAAGAAAGAAUCCGUAGCUUUUAAAGCCGGGCCUUAGUGGGACUCUAAAUGCAAUGAAAGCCGUCUGUGUGGAGAGAUUGAAAUGCAUUUCAAAGCCAGGCCUGGCUAGGGGGGCACUGAGAACAGACCUAUGAGCUUUUCGUAGGAAGGGAAAAAGUGAAUGGAGAAGGGGAGAGAAGUGGGGAGCAGUGGACGGGGAGUUGAAGUCACCGUGGUUCUGUGGACUCAGUCGUCACCAGUGGGGCCGAAGUUGGAUGUCUGCAGUACACGAGGCUCAGCAGACUGAGCUGGGAAAGUUUGGAGCUCCGUUCGAUUGUAAAGAAUGUCGCCUGCCGAGGAUUUCUCCUUGGCACCGACCCCUUUUCACCCAUCGGAACCAGAAGGAUGCAGAUAAACGUCUUAAGAACACAAUAAAUAACAGGACUGCUGGAGGUGGACAGAGAAGAUGAAGGAACUAACAGAGACCUGGGGUGGGGCAUGCUUGGACCCAGCACUUGAGAAACUGAGGCUGGAGCAUCAUAGGAUUGAAGCAGCCUGAACUAUGUAAUCAGAAGUUGUCAGAGCCCAAACCAAACAAGACACCAAGGCCUAACCUUCAGUCACCUUGUGGGAAAUGGAGUCACCUGGAACCAUUUCUCUCUCACAUGCCGGAAUUUGGGGUUAAGAGAGAUGCUGUCUGGUUCUCUGCUGUCUCUGGUACCGCCAGCGGCACCUAAAACACAGCACUCAGCCACGAAGCGCUUGUUAAAUGCAUCGUUCUUGCUGGUGGAAAUAGGAGGCUCGGGGAUCAGCAGGUUACUCAGCUGAAGGUGUCACAGCUUCGUGUGAACCUGACUCUCCCAGUUCCCAGCAACGGACCUUCCCAGCAGUGGGGUAACCUGGGCUCAGAAACACAUCCAGCUCUGAGCACAGUGUUCAGAAGCCGUGGUGAUGCUUGAGGGCUGCAGUGAAGAAGAAGAGGGGUGCCUCCCUCCCUUUCUUUUCCCUGAAUCAUUGCUCUUCAGUCUGUUGAGAAAGUUACAUUCGGUUCGUAAAUGUGGCUGCUCUAUAAGGAAAACCUUGAAGUCCUGAAAGAUUCCACCCAAUCUGAAACCCAGUCAUCCACUGGACAAUGAAACGUUUGAAGGCUGCCAGUGUUGACCUCCCUCCCACUGCACAUGCGCUCUGUGUUUUUCAAGGAUUCUCCAUAUAUGAUUCCUUGAGGCAAAAAGUUAAGUAUAACCAUAGCAUUACUUUUAGAAAUUUCAUGGUAAUAGGACUUUUUAUACAAUUAGAAACAACCUUGAGUCUCUUAGUCCUCUGUUUAAUACAGACUUGAUACAGCAUGAGAUUGAAAGGUUAAGAUCCAUCUCUCUGCAGUACUUACCCCCUAUAGCUUAGACUGUUAUCACAGUGGUGAUGCUCUAUCACUGCAGCAGUACUUACCCCCUAUAGCUUAGGCUGUUAUUACAUGGUGGUGAUGCUCUAUCACUGCAGCAGUACUUACCCCCUAUAGCUUAGGCUGUUAUUACACAGUGGUGAUGCUCUAUCACUUCAGCAAUACUUAUCCUCAAUUGAUUAAGCUGUUAUUACACAGUUGUGAUGACUCUAUCAUUGCAUAAAACUUCCAUGACACCUGUACACUCAUUUUUUGUAUUGUAUGUAUGAAAAACUAGUAUAAAUAAAUAGCAAUAUUUGCCCAAAAUAAGAGAACAAAACUAGACAUGGUGGUCACUGUUGUGGUCCCAGCACUUGGGGGUCUGAGGAAUGGUAGUAUUAUAUAUAGCCAGAGUUAUAUAGCAAGGUCCUGUCUCAAAAUAAACAACAGAUAGAUAGAUAGAUAGAUAGAUAGAUAGAUAGAUAGAUAGAUAGAUAGAUAGAUAGGAAAAUAGGUAGGUAGGUAAGUAGAUAGAUAGAUGAUAGAUAGAUAGAUAGAUAGAUAGAUAGAUAGAUAGAUAGAUAGAUAGAUAGAUAGACAGAAAAAUAGGUAGGUAGGUAAGUAGAUAGAUAGAGGAGAAAAACAAAGGUACUGUUAUAGUGACUCAAUUUUUAUAAGUCCUACAAACUUUUCACUUACUAGAGUUGUAGAUAGUUUUAAAUGGCCGGAGAUUAUAAAUCGAAAUGAUCCAUCAAAGCUCUGAAUAGUUGUGAAGUGAUUACUAGAGGAUUCCUAUAAAGUAUGUUCUGAAAGUUUGAAAAUUGUUAUUCAUUUGUAUGUGCACGCUCACGUGUACACAUGAAUACCACUGUGGAGAUCAGAGGACAACUUGUAGGGAUCCUAGGGAUUGAACUGCAGUCAUCAAGGUUAGUGGCAAGAGGCUGUACCCUCUAAGCCAUCUCGCUGAUCCAUGAAGUAUGUUUGAAUCAGCACAAUGCAGACUUACAAGAUGCCUGUGCAAGGGAAGCAUGCACCACUCUUAGGCAAGCAUUGUAUCACUUAGCUAUAUUAUCAGAACCAAAAUUUCUUUUUUUCUUCUUAGAGAUGUACUUAACAUUUGAUCUAGUAACCUCCAGAGAAAUCAUCAAAAGGAAGGUGAACGCUACAUAACAUGUUCAUUGCAGUACUGUGUAUAUAACCGGGGAAGUGGAAGAAACCUGGCUAACCAACAAUGGAGGAAUAUUUAAAUAGCAGUCUAUCCACUUCGUAUAAGAAUGUGUAAUCAUUAAAUAAAUAGUAUAGCACACUGUUAAAACGUGUCUUGCUAAACAGUUCAGUCCUAACCAAUUCAGCUACUGUCAUAUUCACAGCACAUGGACGAUGCCACCAGAGCUUAAGGGUGAGACAAGAUGGGAGCCAUAUGACGUGUGGCAAAGACUUAUGAAUUCCUAGGUUAAUUACCAGUCCCACGUAAGUGAGCAUCAGCUCUGCUUUUUCAUGAAUUACUACCAGCUACACAAGGCAGAGGCAUUUCUGGAUGCUUCAUGGAUGUGGCAUUCUGCCACCCUAUUCAAGUCAUUGUGGAGACCCUUUCCAGACAGUGUGCGGUCUCCCUGUGUCUCAGUGCAUCUCUCGGCUAUAGAAGCAUGGUUUUCAGCUUUGCAGCCCUGAGAUGCAUCCCACGUAUGAAUGGAAGUCUUUGUGUCACAAAAGUAAACUCAUCAGCUUCUAUGCCAUGAAGAAAUGUUCAUCUUCUAGGGUGCACACAUGUAAGCCACCUCUUUAAAAUCAGCCCCCUUCAGCAGCACCGAGUGCGCCUCUGUGUGGGACGUAUCAAUGUCCAUUAAUUGCAAGAAGAAGAGCCGAGACUCCAAUGGCAAAAUCUGUAAAAGUAGAUGUACAAAGAAAAAGGGAGCAUCUGCUUCAUCCAUGCGACAUUAGAAUUUAAUUUUACCUCUGCACUGCUUUUGUGGGGCUGCAAUGCCGGAGCAGAGCGCAUAAGCAUGGCCAUGCAGUGUCAGCAGGUGCAUGCCACCAAAUUACUGCUUUUCAUUUGCAUAUUCAUCUGCUAAGAAGCAUGUCAUUAUCAUAUCAAAGGGAUACUAAGCAACAUCUAGCUUGGAGAGAUGUGGCAUAGCUUCAAUAGGAGCAAUUAAUGCAAGAUGAGGACUCUCUGUCGUGUCUCCCAGGGCCUGCUGUAAUCGGGCUGAUUACUGGAGACCAAGAAGACCAGGGCCCAGUUGGCACCAAACGGGGGAAGAACUGGAAAGAGGCCGCUUGUCCUCUCCACUGUACACUUGACGGCAACAGGAAGCUCUGGUCACUCCAAAGAAUGCUGUUCGCGUUACUCAUGCUGCAACGGACUCCCAUCUGCUUCUGUUGUUACAAAACGGCCCAAACGCUGCCUCUAAGUAGCUAUGUAUUUCAAAAAAUUAAUCUAGGCUCCCAAGAGCACAUAAAAAGAAUGGGAAAGUGCUGUUAGAAUUGCAUUUACAAAUGUGUUGGUACAUUCCAUUUGUAUAAACUCCAUCCUCCUCCUUUAAACAGUGGAUCACCUGUAGAAGUCGGGCUGCGUCAGACUCUGAGCAUAUGACCCUUGCCUGUCCUUGAUCUCAUCUAAAGCACACUUGCACGGAGAUGUGUAAAGCAAGCAUAACUGGUGUAACAUUGACUUUUCAGUGCUUGCCAACUGAAGGAAAGUCACCACAUUUAAAACUACCCUUUGGCUACCCAGUAGCAUCUUCAAGAGCCAGCAUUUCCAGUUCAGUUCAGCUCAUGGCACUUCCUCUUUGCUUGGUAAUACUCACAGGCAAGGGGCCAUCUUGAAUAACUUCUUAAAUGCUUGAAUGGCAGAAAUCAAAACAAAUCUUCCUAUUGCCCUGUUCAUUUUCAGUCUUGUGUUUGAUGCACUGGUUGUUAUAAGUUGUGCUUUUAAAAGGCAGGAACUGGUAGCUUGUUUCCUAGAAUGUGUAGAAUAAGGUGCUGUGUGCAUGUACUUUGGUUCAUUUAUUCAACAAAUGUCUUUGAACAUUCAUGGACCAAAUGCUUCUACAGCACUGAGGAUAUCGCUGUGAGCAAGCAAGCCACGUGCAGCCCUCAGUUCAUGUUCUCUCAUGUGCCAGUGUGUGUGUAGCCUCCCCAAGCACACACCUCAUGGGAAGUCUGAUAACUGUCACGUGAGUACUUUGUCUACACCUUGUUGUACUGACAUUGACAAUGAAAGGAACAGAAAGUUAAUCUUAAAAAGUACAGACCAGUGAGUACCGAAGUCUUCUAAGGGGAUGGAGGGCUGGAGAGAUGGCUCAAGGUGAGGAAUAGUUGAGGCUCUAGUGGAAAACCUGGGUUUGGUUUCUAGAACCUGUAGAACAGUUGUCAACCCCCAGAACUCCAGGAUCUAAUGUCCUCUUCUGAUUCAGUGGCCACCAAGCAUACACAUGCAGGCCAACAUAUAAAAUAAAAAUAUAUGAAUCUUUAAAAAUGAGAGACUUGUAAAUGGUCAGUAGAUUUGGAACAAAAUUUUCAAAUAAGAGAACAUUUUAAAUGGCUGUUCAACCUUCUCAGCGGAUUGAAACACCUUCCCAAACCAACCAAGGCAGGGUAGUCCAGUUCCAGAACCUUCCCUGAUCAAUUACAUCAUAGCCUCAGGGGGGCACUUUAGGAGGCAAGUGGUACAGAAUGCUGCAGACAUGGAAGCUGAAACUCAGUAGAGCUGUGUUUUGAGUGGCCCAGUUGGGAAGCAGCUGGCUCAGACAGAACCUUGGGAUUUUCCGCUGCUAAGUAAGCAUUCCGCUUACAGUAGGUUCAUUGCGACCCAAUGGCACACUCCAGUUGCCUUUUGCCACUGAACGUGCCUACCAGAAGCUGGUGAUUAUAAUCAGUCAUUAGGAGCCUGAAAUCAAUUUCCCCAGUGCUUCUCCUUCACACUCUGUGCUGAGAGCUGAGGCUUAGAUGAAAUCUAGCAGGGCAAAGGGUCAGAAUGUACACAAAUGCCACAAAUGUCAUUUCCUUGCCUCUGUCACUGCUUAGACUGGUUUUCCUUCUACCACACCAAAAAAAAUUGUUGUCUUUGCUCUUAUAUAUCACUUGUGAGAUUUCGUUGUUGUUUGAGUUUCUGUGAAAAGAUAAAAAGUUGACUUCAUUCACAGGCAUAUGUAUUGACAGUAACGAAGUCAAGUGGCAUUAUGGUAUUUGGAAGAUAAAGCAGUAUUCUUUAGAAGAAUCGACAUGUUAAGGCAUAAUUCAAAUAGCCAGACAUAAUUUUUUAUGUUCAUAAAGGGGAAAAGCUAUGAAGUGAUAAUCGUAAUAAAUAACCAGAGAAGGAAAAAGGAGAAUUCAUUAUACACCUAAUUUUCUGUGUAAGAAAGAGAGAAACACCAACAGAGGAAGAUAAAAUCAUGCUGUCAGUAACAGGAAAUGCACACAGUGGACCGAUUUUAACUGCACAAGAUCUGAAGACUGCUGGAUCCCCUUACAUGCUUGCGCUAGGCUAAACUUCAUGUGACUUGAUGUCAUAUUGGAACUAUAAAUUCUUGACUGACUUAGCGUAGAAGCCAAGUGAAUAUUUUUUAAAAUUAAAACUAGUAUGAGGGGCAAUGAGACAGGUCAACAGGUAAAGGUGCUUGCUCUCCCACCUAAUGACCUAAAUUUACUCCCUGGGACCUACAUGGUAGAAGGGAGCACAGGCUCUCACAUGUUGAAAGCGCCACAUGUAUGCCAUGGUGUGUGGGGCUUAGGGUUAGGGUUAAAGUUAAGUAAAUUAAAAAUAGUAAAAUGUAAAACCAAUUAGAAACAAGAGAUGAUUUUCAUGAAGCCAUCCACAGAACAUUGGUAAGCUAUAGAUUAUGUUAUGGGUGGUUAUUUUAAAAGCAAGGAAAUUUCAAGUUAGAAUAGCUAGAUUCCUUUAUUUUCUUACUUUGUGGGGAGGUCUGGUGACACCACCCUGUGCUAGUAGCAACAGCUGAACUGAGUAGUUGAUGCCCCAUUAGGUUGGGUUACUCUGCUCGGCCACAGUCACCACCAGCACUAUUGAGCUGUGACACCUAGCCCGGUCACCUCCCUGAACCCCUUCAGGGUCUUGAACUUUUCAUCUCGGGCUUGCUGAGUGUUAUUUUGAGCCACAACCUAAUCGUCAAAACCCUAGAGCAGUGGUUCUCAACCUGUGGGGCACAACCCCUUUCCAGAGCAAGUGACCCUUUCACAGGGGUUGCCAAAGACCACGAGAAAACACAGCUCUUACAUUAUGAUUCAUAACAGGAGCAAAAUAACAGUUAUGAAGUAGCAACAAAAAUAAGUUUAUGGUUGGGGGUCAACACAACAUGAGGAACUAUAUUAAAGGGUCGCAGCGUUAGGAAGGUUGAGAACCACUGCCCCCAGAGGAUCCCAAGAGGCACAGGACAUUAUGGUGUUAACAGACCAGUAAAUGUCAGCUCUGGAAAGUAAGGACUUUUUUUUUUUACUCUGCUGUGCAUGCAAGGGUCUGCUGUGUCCUUUUCAUGAAGCUGUUGGUGAAGUGACACUGAGAAUGUGGACAGUUGACAGCAGUCAUCCUCGAGCUUGUCACAGGUUGGAAGGCGUGAGUCCUUCAUGUUGGAAGCUAAGACAGUAUGAGCUCCACCCCAGUCCAUCCAAGGCAGGAUUUCUCUAACUGAAUCUGGGCUGUUUUGUUGUUUUUGUUUUGAUUUUUGUGGUUUUUGGGGGGUUUUCCCAAGUUUCUCAACUGAUUUUAAAAUGUAGCUCAGGAUACAACCCCCUCGUUCAGAUAUCAAAAGACAAGAUAAUUUCCAGGUUGUACCUAAUUCUGUUUCUAUUAGUUUUAAAACAUACACAUAGCCAGACACUUGGCAUCACAAAAAAACAAAACAAACCAGUGCACAUAUUGAAUGUUCUCUUUCAAGUGUACACAGUCAGCUGCACCGUACAGGCCAAACACUAACAAAACUGAGUUUGAAUCAGCUCAGCUCUGUGUUGAGGUAUGCAGCCCUGCUGUUGAAGUCCUGAAGGGAAGCAAAUGUUGACAUUCUGUCCCCUCUGUGUGGUGGCUGUCAUGUGGCUGAAUUUCAGGAUCCUGUAUCUGAGAUCCAGCCAGUCCUCCAACUGUGGGGAGCAACUGAGAACCCCAACUCUCAUGGGCCAGCCUUGCAUCUUUCCUGACACCUUAAGCUUGUUUUAGGUAUGACAAAAAGCUCAGCUUGAUCAAUCAAUCAAAUAAAUACUAAGGAAAUCAGCUUGGUUACCUUAAAUAAACAAUCAUUCAUAUUUAAGUGAUCAAAUGGCUAUAAAUAUGCUGAUUUGUGUGUGUGGCCCCUCUAUAGCAUAAACGUACUACUGUGCUUGAUUAAAUUGUCGGGAAAUUCAAUGCGACUUUUUCUGUGUAACAAUUCAAAAAUGACGGGGACUAGAGAGGAGCAUGCAAGCAGAAAGUAUCAUUAUUGACUCAUGGAAAAUGUGCCAUAAUUUUUGCUUGAAAAUAAACUCAUGCAUCAUAGAUGAGUAUUUGUUUUCAGAGGCCUCCUUCAGUUAGAGAAGCAUGUCAAUUCCUUCCCCCUUCAGAAUUUGCUGUUUCCACCCAGUGCACUGACAGGAAGUCUACGUGAAAGCAGGUUUGAUGGCAGAAGCCUCACUGCCUGAAAUUAGAGCGCUUACUUCAGACACGACUUACCACGAUGCAUCAAAACACCAUGAAGGCGGUGCUGAAGCGAGGCUUCAGAUGGCCCAGCUCGCUGGUUUUGUGAACAGAGAAGUAGAGAGUAAGUUUCAAAGUCUGUGUCAUCAUCCAUUUAGAAGCCAAAGAUGUGCGUGGCCUUGCCAGAAUCAAGGUCACGAUGUGUAACGUCCUCAUGGGCCUGCUUGCCACAGGUUCUAGAAAACUCCCAGUCCUCGGUGCUAUCUCCUGAUGUGGCUUCCUAGGGGAGCAUACUAACAAGUCCUAUCUUGCAUAUAGAAGACAUUUGGUCACCUGCUGGCCCAUCCCAAUCCUUGUGGUCUGGAUGAUGAUACCCCCUCCUCACCGUGUCUAGGUGGAUGUGAAAGAGGAGACUUUCAGUCUACUUGAUAGGGGAAGAGAUAUUCUCUCCUGCAAAAGAACAGCUCUGCUACUAAAAGAAUGUAGGAAAGGGGACAAUUCAUGUUCCUCUUUGGCACCCAGGGCCCAUAAGUGUAACCUGGCCUUCCCUUCUCCACAAUACACGAAUGCUGGCCAGACCCAAAGACCAGUUUCUGAACUGAGGAACUUAUCAGUGGAGAUCCCUGAACUUGGAAUGGCAAAUUAGGGGCUCCAGAUCACUAGGAAUCCCAGUAAACUCAAAGGUAGUCUAUGUAAUCUUAGUUUGGGGCUCUUGAACUACGGGUUUACUUCUACACGAAGCAAAACGGGUCUCUGCUGUGGGAUGUUCUGUAUGGCAAAUGUGUUGCUGAUUAGUCAAUAAAUAAAACACUGAUUGGCCAUUGGCUAGGCAGGAAGUGUAGGCGGGACAAGGAGGAGAAUAAAGCUGGGAAGUGGAAGGCUGAGUCAGAGAGACACUGCCAGCCGCCAUGAUGACAAACAGCAUAUGAAGAUGCCGGUAAGCCACGAGCCAUGUGGCAAGGUAUAGAUUUAUAGAAAUGGAUUAAUUUAAGCUGUAAGAACAGUUAGCAAGAAGCCUGCCACGGCCAAUACAGUUUGUAACCAAUACAAGUCUCUGUGUUUACUUGGUUGGGUCUGACGGCUAUGGGACUGGCAGGUGAGAGAAAUUUGUCCUGACUGUGGGCCAGGCAGGAAAACUCUAGCAACAGAUCUCCUCUCCUGGAAUAAACUCAAAGCCCACUCCAAAUCCCCUAAGCACCUAUCAUAACGCUCUUCACGGGAGAGGCUCUAAGCUGAAACAAGUGGAGGACCCGGUGCUGAGGCCGGGACUGCCUCUUUUCCCCAGAGAGCUGUAAAAUGUCAUAGUUUCAUUGUUCGUAUCUGGGGACAGACUGUUCUCACACUCUGACCUGGUGAUGCUUGUCUGACUUAGAGGUUGAAGCAGAACAAUGGAGUCCAUGGAUGGGAACGUCCCUCCCAUAGAGACCUGCCUCUGUUGUUUACAGGCAGGUUCAU